GUUGUUUGAGACGGUUGACCCCUCUCUCUCCCUUCUUUUUCUUCGUCCCUUCGCUGGUCUGUCUCUUUCUCUCUCUCCCUCUCUCUCUCUCUCAAUAAACAAGGACGGAGGAAUGAAGGAGGGAUAAUGGAAGAACUGCCCAAGUUCUCUCAAACCCACUUCUGCACGCACUGCUCUCCUACUAAAGAGAACUCAAAAAGGAGAAUGGAAGAAUCCUCAGCAAUUAUUCUUGUUGCUUUUCUUGUAAUAUGUUGUGCAAGUGAAGUGAGAUCAGAUGCGUCAAAUCAUCGGUACAAUGCUGGAGAUCCAGUUCCUUGUUAUUCUAACAAGGUUGGACCAUUUCACAAUCCUAGUGAAACAUAUGCUUAUUAUGAUUUUCCCUUCUGUUUACCAGAACAUGUGAAAGAGAAGAAAGAAUCCUUAGGUGAGGUGUUGAUAGGAGAUCGGCUUGCUUCUGCUCCAUAUAAAAUUGACUUUCUAGUAGAGAAAGAUGCUGAACUUGCAUGUAAAAAGAAGCUGAAAAAGGAAGAAGUUUCUCAGUUCCGAACUGCACUUGCACAAGACUAUUACAUUGAAAUGUACUUUGAUGACUUGCCAGCUUGGGCUUUCAUUGGAAAAGUUGACCGGCCUUAUUUAGCUGAAACAAAUGACUACAAGUACCUCCUUUUCACACACAUGGUAUUUGAAUUUCUUUAUAAUAAGGAACAUGUGAUUGAGAUCACUGCUCGAAUAGACCAAAGUUUCGUGAUUGACCUGACAGAAGAUAAGGAAGUCAAUGUGGAGUUCACUUACACUGUGAAAUGGAGGGAAACAAACAUUGCAUUUGAGAAGAGGAUGGAGAAGUACUCUUCGUCUUCUUCGCUGCCACGUCACUUGAGAAUACACUGGUUUGCAGUGAUGAACUCAUGUUUGGCAGUUCUUAUCCUACUUGGUUGUUUGGUGAUGUUUUAUGUGCGAGUCCUCAAGAAGGAUAUCAAUAAGUAUGCGAAUGAUGAGGAAUUGCUUGAUAAUCAAGAGGAAAAAGGGUGGAAAAACAUCCAUGGUGAUGUUUUCCGGUAUCCAAAGCACAAGUCGUUGUUUGCUGCAGCUGUUGGUUCUGGCACCCAGUUGUUCAUUCUUAUGUUGUCCAUUAUAAUGCUAGGAUUUGUUGGAGUAUUUUAUCCAUAUAGCCGAGGAGCGUUGCUCACUGCACUGGUGGUCGUAUAUGCAAUUACAUCGGGGAUUGCAGGAUAUACAGCUGUUUCUUUAUAUUGCCAAUUUGAAGGGACCAAUUGGGUGAGGAAUUUGUUAUUGACAGGUUGCCUUUUUUGUGGGCCUCUAUGCCUUACAUUCUGCUUCCUUAAUACUGUUGCCAUCACAUACAGAGCAACUGCAGCGCUGCCACUAGGAACAAUUUUGGUAUUGUUGUCUAUAUGGGUGCUUGUAGCAUUACCAUUGCUUUUGUUGGGUGGGAUUGCUGCAAAAAAUAGCAAGUCUGAGUUCCAAGCUCCUUGCCGCACCACCAAGUAUCCUAGAGAGAUUCCUCCACAGUGUUGGUAUAGGGGUAUUCUUCCCCAGAUGGCAGUGGCGGGCAUAUUGCCUUUUGGUGUUAUCUAUGUUGAGCUGUACUAUUUGUUUGCUACCAUAUGGGGUCACAGGAUUUACACCAUCUAUGGCAUCCUAUUUAACGUCUUCAUAAUUCUGGUCAUUGUAACUGCUUUUGUGAAUGUGGUUAUGACAUACUUUCGGCUUGCUGCUGAAAAUCAUGAAUGGUGGUGGAGACCCGAUCCAACCCAACCCAACCCCAUCUCCACAUCCACCUCCACUCCGGCCAGCAACCUCCCCACCAUCACCAGAUCCGACCACCUUUGCCAUCCUCCUCUUCUCUUCUUCUUCCUCCUCUUCAAACUCUAGCCACCUUCACGAGAGAUCAGAGAGAGAGAGACAGAGAUCGAGCGAGAGAGAGAGGCGACCCAGACCGACGAUCCGAAACCAGAUCGACGGCAAUGGGGGGUUGAGGGAGAGAUGGUGGUGGUGGUGGUGGUGGUGGGUCUGGUCUGGGGAUGAGUUGGCGACGAUGACAGGGAAGAUGGCGAUGCCGUCGAUAAGGAGGGCUGGAAAGUUCAUGGUGGGAGUGGCCAUUGGAAUGCGAGAAUCAGAUAAAGAGAGAUUGGAGCAUUUGGCGAUGGCGGCGAUAGGCUAUGCAGGUGGUGGAGGAUAGACAACGACAGCAGGUUGGUUGUCGGAGAUGGGGAUGGCAGAGAAGGGAGCGGCCAUUGGAAUGCGAGAAUCAGAUAAAGAGAGAUUGGAGCAUUUGGCGAUAGCGGCGAUAGGCUAUGCAGGUGGUGGAGGAUAGACAACGAUAGCGGGUUGGUUGCCGGACAUGGGGAUGGCGGAGAAGGAUGUGGCCAGAGGUGGUAGUGGUUGGGUUAGGAGAGAGGGUAUAGUUGGUAUUAAGGUGAGGGUUCAAAGAGAAAAUGGAGAGGAACUCACUAACCUCUUCAAAACCUCUUUGUUUUCUUCGAUUUGAGCCAAUCAGAUUUUGAAUCUGAGGUGUCUUUUGUCAUUUCCCUCAUUCAAGGACCAUUUCCCUCGAGUUCCUCUCGAGAUGGCUGACGAUGUCCCGCAUGAUGGGGGUUUCCCGGCACUCCCUCCAGCAGAGUUUGCCGCAGACUUUGCGGCUGAGCCGGGGGUUGAGCUUGAGCCUUUACCACUGAGCGUACGUCCCUUCGACCCCGCGAGGUAUCACCCGAAGACCCAUAUUAUACUAGUGGCGGGAGGCAUCCACACUUUCACUGAUUUCGACGAGGACGCACCAGACGAUCUCUUGCUGAGGGAGCCGAUGUCUCAUUUGUCGGCCAUUGCUGUGGAGGUCUUUUCUUUGCGGCGGAUCAAUAGGCUUGUUUGUCUAUGGCUAUUGCUUGUACUACUACCAUUCACGGUCAGAUAUGUCUGGUUUGCUGCAAACAUCAUUCUUCUUCGGUUACAUGGCUUGCAUUUGCUAUGGCAU